UACGGGGGGGGCAAGCGUUGUUCGGAAUUACUGGGCGUAAAGGGCUCGUAGGCGGCCAACUAAGUCAGACGUGAAAUCCCCAAGCUCAACUUGGGAACUGCGUCCGAUACUGGCAGGCUUGAAUUCGGGAGAGGGAUGUGGAAUUCCAGGUGUAGCGGUGAAAUGCGUAGAUAUCUGGAGGAACACCGGUGGCGAAGGCGGCAUCCUGGACCGAUAUUGACGCUGAUGCGCGAAAGCCAGGGGAGCAAACGGG
rnacentral:rRNA from 1 species